rnacentral:sRNA from 1 species
UAUUACAGGGCCCUUUAUCAGCGCUUUUAUUCAUAAUCCUGUCUCUUCUUGUAAGCGGACUUCCUGGAAUCAAGGCUGCAGACAAUUGUCGCCCGAAAGGCAACUGUGAUCCUGAAUUAUCGAAUAUUUCUAAAGACAAACUUGGAUGUUUCGGUUUGGAGAAACUGAAGAGUUGUUUCAAUACUUAUUGCACAGCUAUUGACUAUGAUAAGGCCUACGCAGAAUGCAGUAAGAA